rnacentral:rRNA from 1 species
GGAGGCGCACAAGUCAGUGGAGCAUGUGGUUUAAUUCGAUACAAAGCGUUGGACCUCACCUGGGUUUGACAUGUACCUGCAAAUUCUGUGAAAGCAGAACUUCUUCGAGAGUGGUACACAGCUGCUGCAUGGCUGUCGUCAGUUCGUGUCGUGAGAUGUCCACUUAAGUGUGGUAACGAACGCAACCCGCAUUCUGUGUUAAAUAUUCACAGGAAACUGCCUCGCAACAAGCGGGGAGGAAGGAGCGGAUGACGUCAAGUCAGCAUGGUGCUUACAUCCAGGGCAACACACAUCCUACAAUGGAGCCGACAAUAGGUUGCGAAGGAGCGAUCCGGAGCUAAUCCUCAAACGGCCCCUCAGUUCAGAUAGCAGGCUGCAAUUCGCCUGCUUG